rnacentral:rRNA from 1 species
GAUGAACGCUGACAGAAUGCUUAACACAUGCAAGUCAACUUGAACUUCGGUUUGGGUGGCGGACGGGUGAGUAACGCGUAAAGAACUUGCCUCACAGAUAGGGACAACAUUUGGAAACGAAUGCUAAUACCUGAUACUAUGAUUAUAUGGCAUCGUAUAAUUAUGAAAGCUAUAUGCGCUGUGAGAGAGCUUUGCGUCCCAUUAGCUAGUUGGAGAGGUAACGGCUCACCAAGGCGAUGAUGGGUAGCCGGCCUGAGAGGGUGAUCGGCCACAAGGGGACUGAGACACGGCCCUUACUCCUACGGGAGGCAGCAGUGGGGAAUAUUGGACAAUGGACCAAGAGUCUGAUCCAGCAAUUCUGUGUGCACGAUGAAGUUUUUCGGAAUGUAAAGUGCUUUCAGUUGGGAAGAAAAAAAUGACGGUACCAACAGAAGAAGUGACGGCUAAAUACGU